rnacentral:lncRNA from 1 species
AUUAGACUUUUGAAGUUAUCUGGAAAAAAAAAUCAAGUUUUGUGAUGACUUCUAAGAAGACAUAAAACUGAAAUCUUCAGAAUAGCUUUAGACAAACACGUGUUGAAAAGGGUGAGGAGGAAGAGAUUUCCCCUUCUCUGUUUCAGAUAUGAUCCCAGGGGACUGCUAUUGUCAUCUUGACCCUGUAAAGACAGUGAGGCUGAGGACAAGGCCCCCCGACCAAGAGGGCAGCGCUAAGAGAAGGAGACAGAGCCAGAUACUGCAGUGUCUACAACCACGCUUGGAGACACAUCAUUGUGUUCUGUCACACCAACCAGCCUGCACCAGAGACACAGGAAUCUUGAUCUUCUGGCAGAAAACUCUUCCAAAACAUUCCUAUGUGACACUGCUCAUGUAUAGGUGCUCCAAACCAAAUGUCCAGUUGCUUCCACCAUUGUGCAAAAAUGGGAGACCCUGCCGAGCAGCAGAUGGCCCUCAGCACGGCUGACACUCAGGCCAGGCCCCAGGUGGCAGCUCUCAGAACACACUGUCCAGCUAAACCCUGCACAGACUGGCCGUUGAAAAUACCUGGUGUUCACAUUCCCCAAAAGUUGGGCAAAUGACAGGGUCACCCAGUGCACUUCAUGGGGUCAGUGGGGAGAACCAGCAUUUCAGCACAAGUUCACAAAUCACUGGGUCCCCCUUGUCAAACACUGCAAAUAUGUAGCAUGCUAAGAAAAAUCUCCUUACCUCUCAGACUCUGUAUCACUCAGUUCAUCUGAGUUGCUACAAUGGACAAUAAAAUCUAAUAAGUUAAAAUGAGGUAUGGAAUGCUCAGGAGAAAAACAACAAGGACUAGUACUCCUCAUCUGAGUAAAUAAUUUCUCUCACAGGGUUAAUUUUAGCUUUGCAAGUUUUUUAUUUGAGAUUAUAUUUUAAAUCACAAUUUGUGCACGUGUGAUUUAAAAUAAAAAAGGCAAUCAAGUCUUUCUGCCAGUCUAGGUGAUGUGAAAUUUAAUUAUCGAGCAGUUAUCAUUAAAAUAAACGCAAAGCAAUUUUUUAGACAUAAUUGAAUAUUCCAGAAGAAAAUUUCUGAAAAAUCCAAAGGUCCAAAAGAAAACUUCUCAGUGAGAAUGUCUGUUUCAGUAAGAUACCCUGUUUUGUAGUAUUGGAUGCAGAGAAUUUCUAGUUAGACAUACAUAAGUCUUGCCAGAAUUACUAUAGUUCAGUUUUGCCACCUGCAUCUAGAAAUAUGGAAGACUUAUCUACGUUACUGGUUUUGACUCCCCAAUAAUGAGUAAUGAAAAUUCCUAUUUAUCAUUUCUACAUCAACAUCAGUGUGAUAGCAGAAAACAGCAUGAUUUACCUGGCCCACAAUACUGUUGUAUAGAAUUUAAAGAAAUAAAUACCUCAAUCCAUUCAGGAAUGUUCUUUUCCCAAUUAAGGUUUUGAAGACUGCACCUAAUACUGACUUGUUAUCUUUUUCUGUUUGCAUUUUAAUUUUAAAAGUCUGUGUCAACUUUAUUUUGAUAAUACAGUGGGUUUACGUUUCCAAAUCUUAACUUCUUAUCCCCAGGGUUCCUUUAAUAUUUAAUGUUUUACCCUUUUCAGUUACUGAGAACAUCUCAUAUCUUCUUUAUUUAUUGAUUUGCUUGGGUUGAUUUUUUUCUUGACUGUGAAAUUAUCCAUUUGGCAAUCAUAUUGCUAAUAUGCAAAAAGUUCUUAUUUUAAUUAUACAAGCAAAUGUAACCCAUGAUUAUUAAGAAGACUAUUUUGCAAAUUGGCCGUUGUUUAUCUCAGAAUAUAACCAAGAACCACAGGCUAAAUUAGAAGCUUAAGGAUAAGAACUUUUUUUUAUUUUUGCAAUUUAAAAUAAUAAAGGUAAUCAAAGCUUCCUGCCAAUCUAGGUGAUUGUGAAAUUUAAUUACCAGUAGUUAUUAAAACAAAGGUAAAGCAAUUUCUUUUACACAUAAUUGAAUAUUCCAGAAGAAAAUUCAUGAAGAGUUCUCAGAAAAUGUAUUUUUAAAUUAAUUGUAACCUGAUUAUUUCAUUUGUUAUGUCUCAGUUGGUACCAUAGAAUAAAUGACACAUUUGGGCGAUGUAGUUUAACAGCAGCUAGUGAGAGCAAAUUCUCAGGAAAAUCAGGCAACUUUGACCUUAAUGCUGAGCAAAUUAUUAGAUCUUUACUCUGCAAACACAAACAUACCUAAAUCUCCCGCAGCUAUUCCUCUAUGAGAGGUAUAACCCAUGUUGACUUCAC